rnacentral:lncRNA from 1 species
UGUAACUCACAUCGACAUUUCAAGCUUGCUGCCAAUGGCAACGAAUGGCGCAGGUCAGGCUUGCAAAGUGGCUAUGCCCUAAAUCUCUGUCCUGAACGGCACCAGUGUUGCUCUCAUGAUCACAAUUGGUGUACAUCAGGCAUUGCACAUGAGACUCAUCGCCCUUAAACCAACUCUGUGGAAAUCUACGAUUCCCCCAGAUGGGUUGUCAGCCAGUAGACUAGCAUGCAACCCUCAGCCUAACAUAAAUUCCGUCCAGGAGACAUAGGAAAAUUUGGGUGUGGAUGUCCACAUGGUGUGCAAUGUUGUCCUAUCUUAACGCAGUAGCAUUCCGUAGAGUUCCCCAAGUUCCUUCCUUCAAGUCCUGUCGGUUUGCGCAACUGCUCCGGGGCAAUCUUUCAGGUGGCUCUGCAGCUGCUGAGACUGCAGAUGCAUUUGCCAAUCAAGCAACACUGCUGUACCUUCCCAUGGCAUCUCUUGAAGGCCACUGCCCUGCUGCCUCGGGGCAGUGUCCCUUCAUCAUGGCUGUGUUAUGAUCUGCAUGCCUCAAACAUGCUGCCCUCACAGCUGCAGCAUUGUGCUUGGCCGCACCAUUGACAUGCAGGCGCUGUCCCUUUGGCGCCUGGGGGUCAUUCAGGGAAAAGGUCAUUCAGAGAUCUCCGGCAAGGGGUUUGGGCCAAUUACACCCCUGGCAGUCAGCUCCUGCAGGGCCCAUGCAAUGUCCUGCAACAGCAUAAGCCAUGACAGAGCCUCAAAUGCCUGUGUGGAUCAGUCUUCAAGUCAGGAAAGGGCAGGCAUCUUGACGUACAACGUCUGACAUCCUGAGCUGCCUGAGAGGGGAUUUGGGCACAAAUAUACAGCUUGGUCGCGUCAAGAGGCUGGCUGGGACCUUCAAAUUAUCUUAGAGGAGUGGAGUAUACCUGCUGCAAGGCUGCGGCCUCCUCAGGGCAAUCCCUGUAGGUUGAGACUCCAUGUGCCAAGAGGCCCAGCAAGUACAGACCAAAGAGGACCAGUCCUGCUAAUGGAGCCUGCGAACGGUGCACAAUAUACAUCAGACCACAAUGGAUUUACAUUAUCACGUGUUUGCAAAAAAAUUGCCCCUCAGAGAGGAAUGCAAUAGAUGUGAUGCCAUGCCUUGUGCACGUAGAUAGGCCCGAUACAUAACAAUUAUAAGCCUCUCCACAAGGAGCAUGUGACAUCAGUGAGAUAACCGAUAGACUUCAAUCCAAAGAAAAUUUUCAGUCUGUAUGUCAAUAGAAGAACAUCCACUCACUGCGAGAACAGAUAUACGGAUGUUGCGUGACAGAUCUAGCUGCAGAGCUCCUAGCCACAAUGCAACUGCCACAGCAGCAUAGCUCAGGAGGCGCGAUAUCCGAAGCAUGAAGAAUUCGGGUCCAGUAGCUUAGUGAUCAUCAAGUACUUUGGCAGCUUUCAAAUGAUGGCGUGAGAGAUGAGUGAAUUACGUAGCCCCUUUCUAUACUCGAAGACCUGAAGAUAUGCAUUCCUGUGCAAAUGAUAUCCAA